AAUAGAUACCCUGGUAGUCCACGCUGUAAACGAUGAGGACUAGAUGUUGGUAGGGGAACCUAUCGGUAUUGAAGCUAACGCGAUAAGUCUUCCGCCUGGGAAGUACGGCCGCAAGGUUGAAACUCAAAUGAAUUGACGGGGGCCCGCACAAGCGGUGGAGCAUGUGGUUUAAUUCGAUGCAACGCGAAGAACCUUACCUACCCUUGACAUCCUGCGAAUCCCGAUGAGAGUUGGGAGUGCCGCAAGGAGCGCAGAGACAGGUGCUGCAUGGCUGUCGUCAGCUCGUGUUGUGAGAUGUUGGGUUAAGUCCCGUAACGAGCGCAACCCUUGUCCUUAGUUGCCAGCAUUAAGUUGGGGACUCUAAGGAGACUGCCGGUGAGGAACCGGAGGAAGGCGGGGACGACGUCAAGUCAUCAUGGCCUUUAUGGGUAGGGCUACACACGUGCUACAAUGGGGCGUACAGAGGGUCGCGAACCCGCGAGGGGGAGCCAAUCUCAUAAAGCGUCUCGUAGUCCGGAUUGGAGU
rnacentral:rRNA from 1 species